rnacentral:sRNA from 1 species
AGGAACAAAGAGCUUAUAAAUACAUUAGGACCUGGAAUUCAGUUGUCGAGCCAGGACGGUGACAGCGUUUAACAAAGCUUAGAGAAACCUCCAGGAGACUGCUACCAUGGCAGAGAACCCCAAGCUCCACUACUUCAAUGCACGGGGCAGAAUGGAGUCCACCCGGUGGCUCCUGGCUGCAGCUGGAGUAGAGAUGGAUAUUUGAUGUUCCAGCAAGUGCCAAUGGUUGAGAUUGAUGGGAUGAAGCUGGUGCAGACCAGAGCCAUUCUCAACUACAUUGCCAGCAAAUACAACCUCUAUGGGAAAGACAUAAAGGAGAGAGCCCUGAUUGAUAUGUAUAUAGAAGGUAUGGCAGAUUUGGGUGAAAUGAUCCUCCUUCUGCCCGUAUGUCCACCUGAGGAAAAAGAUGCCAAGCUUGCUUUGAUCAAAGAGAAAACAAAAAAUCGCUACUUCCCUGCCU